UGGGGAAUUUUGGACAAUGGGGGAAACCCUGAUCCAGCCAUCCCGCGUGUGCGAUGAAGGCCUUCGGGUUGUAAAGCACUUUUGGCAGGAAAGAAACGUCAUGGGUUAAUACCCCGUGAACCUGACGGUACCUGCAGAAUAAGCACCGGCUAACUACGUGCCAGCAGCCGCGGUAAUACGUAGGGUGCAAGCGUUAAUCGGAAUUACUGGGCGUAAAGCGUGCGCAGGCGGUUCGGAAAGAAAGAUGUGAAAUCCCAGAGCUCAACUUUGGAACUGCAUUUUUAACUACCGGGCUAGAGUGUGUGAGAGGGAGGUGGAAUUCCGCGUGUAGCAGUGAAAUGCGUAGAUAUGCGGAGGAACACCGAUGGCGAAGGCAGCCUCCUGGGAUAACACUGACGCUCAUGCACGAAAGCGUGGGGAGCAAACAGG
rnacentral:rRNA from 1 species